ensembl:lncRNA
AGUCUAACCACUUCUUCUCCUCUCACUCUCCAUACUCCCAUCCCCCCCUUCUCUCUGUCCCUCACCAUCUUCAUCAGCAGCGACAGAAGAGGCAGACCGGAUCGCUAUGGCGAUAACAUGGUUAGUGACCCUUGGAAAAAGUGCAUGCAGCUCUCUCUGGUAUCCUAUUGGAUGAUGGCAUCAUCAGGCUAGCCUGCUGAUUGGUCUCCUUACCAGACAAUGGCAGUGAUUAAGAUUGUUUAAUGACCUGGCACGGCAAUAUUAGGGCAGCUGGGCAGUUGUUCCCACAAACACCCAAGCAUGCAUGUAUUCCUGAAUAAGUGCAUGCAUACACACAUGCAUACAUACAUACUUGCAUGCAAGAAUGAGCAUGCCAGUUCAUGCUUGCCAUGCGUGAGCCAUCCAACCAAAUGACCGUAAUCACAGCAGAACCCAUAAUAAUCACACAUAAUUGGCAUGUACUUUACCAUGUACUUUCACAGCCCAUUUUUUUCGGGUAGCGGAGGGAGGAUGUGGGGGGUAUGAACGGUGGCCCUGGCUGGUUGCUAGGCAAUAAUAACGCUUUGUUGACAGACUGGAAGGUUUCUCUCCAUCUAGCUCUGUUCGAGCUGGUAGGAUACUGCCAAGCGUUGCUCGGCAACAGCAUUUCUGAAUCGCCUGUUGCCCUGGUGACAGAGCAGCAGCUGAAUAGCAGGGGGAAGUGGGGGCUGUUGGAGAUGCAAGGAAGGGAGAGAGGAGGGGGGCGAGUAAGGGAAGGAGGAGCCUGGCUCAGGGAUGAAAUUUGGGUGGCUUUCAGUUGAGUCUAUUCCAUGGACGAAGCUGCUGCAUCCUCAUUGCAUUUGUCCAUCUCUCAUUUAAGCCUCCGUCGGUAAUAUGCAGAACCCUUUGCUAAAUCUGUCUUUCUUUUUCUUUUCCAACAGGGAGGUGGUGGAUAUGGUGAGUAGGCACUGGUUUUGUCUUUUGUGCUGGAAUUGUAAGGAAAUGGCAUUUUCUACGGUGCUGGUGUGGCUGUGUGCUAGCGUAGUGUAUUAAGCGUAGCCUCUUAAUCUACUGUGGGCGAGGUGUUUGUUGGACACUAAUGUGUGCUACACUCAUGCAGCACAUUGGAAUUAAAACAAAUGGCUUUCAUGUUGCCUAAUUGGCUUGAUCUUCAAUAGGAAGGUGAAGAUAACAGCUCCUCCUGGGAUAACUACCCAUCAGGUGAGCUGCCACGCUGCUAUUCCCUCAUACUGGGGCCAUUUCCGCCCCCGUGUGUACAAACAAUGCGAUAUGAAUGUAUUUAAUUUAUUUCCCCAUAUCACCCUGUUCUCUGACUCCAUGUCUUCUUGUCCUCAGGCGGUCGCACUCUUUAAGUAGGAGUGUAGUGUUGCCUUGGUAACUAACCCUGCCUCCCCUCCUUCUUUCUCCCUGUCCUAUCCCGGUGCACGGUUUCUUCUUUGAUGCCAGGAUUAACACUACACCUCCCUUUGCUCUGUCCCUCCCCUGACUUUUUUUGUUGUCGCUUUUUUAUUUCCCCAAAAUCCUCAGAAUGAACUUUGUUUGAGUAACUUGUCCCUUCUAAGUAUUUAUUUCUUAAUGUCUUGCUUUGUAUUUCAGUGUGAAGCAGUACUCUGGUCACUUCCUGUAGGCCCAUGAGACGCUGAGUGAAGAAGAACCCCCCCCAAACACACACACACCCAAACCCGAAAACACACAAACGCAUACAUAUACACACACCCCUCCACGUCCCUCUUCAACAAAUCCCACUCAAAAUAUGGGUUUCUUUUUUGUAUUUUUUAACUUAAAGUAGGUCCAACAUUCCUGUGCGUUUAUAUAAAAAAAAAAAAACAUCCAGCAUUUUUAGGUGUAGCCCAUUAACUCGUACAGUAACUUCUUUUCAGCUAUUUCUGAUAUUAAUACUGCUUCCUAAAAGAAAAGUUAAACAUCUUUAUUUUUGGAUGAGGUUCUGCGUUGUGUACAUGUUUGUCUUGAGAGUAAAUUGAUGUGUGUGUGUGUGUGUGUGCGCUAUGGUCAUCUUUAUUGAUGUCACUCACAGCUGAGUUGUAACCUUUGUAAUACUCGGCGCAUCGCACAGAAUGUAAGCUACAGUUUUGUUUUGAUAUUUUGAUCAUUUUGUGAAAUAUUUUAUGUUUUUGGUUUUUUAAAUCAAUGUGGGAAUCCUCAAAUGCUUUCAGUUUGGAGGUGUUGGAGUGCGGGGGAGGGGUGCACAUCUUUGGGACUCCUACAGUGAGUGUAGUUUUACACUUGUGUACGAUUCAGGGCUGACCGACAAUUUCGUUGUAUAUUAAGUCAUCUUUCUUUUUUGGGGGGAGGAAGGAGGAGGUGGAAAUGCUUUUGAAUAACCAGAGAUGGAAAGUUGUAGCUAGUGAUUUAUUAAGACAUUGUAUGGAAGGUAACUAAUGUGGAAUUGGUUUGUUUUGUCCCUGCAGUGUCCUGUUCUCUACACUUGUUGUCCUGUCACGAUGUAGAUUGACAUUGUCCAAUUGUAAAAUUAAUAAAAAUGCCAUUUUUUUUUACCAAACGA